CAGACCAUGUUCUUGGUGUUCUGUAUUCCAGAAUUCUCUGCCCACAAGUCUACUUCCAAGGUCUACAUGGAGUUCUUACCUGGGUCAAUCCCCCUGAAACAUCUAUGCUGCUGUGGACGCGACUGUUUUCCGUACUUUAGAAGAGGGAACCAAGGCACAAGAUAACUGCAUAGCUAUCUGUGGCCACACAGCAGUGAGCCAGGUUUUGAAGAAGGCUGGUAUUUGACAUCCUAAGGUAUCUUAACUACCGUACUGUGCUGCUUCCCAAAACACUGCACCAAAACUUCUCACAGAAAAUUCCUGGACAACAAGAAAGCUGAUGCC
rnacentral:lncRNA from 1 species